rnacentral:lncRNA from 1 species
UUCACACACGUGUCGGCAAGUUAGAGAAAGUAUUUUUUUCUAUUUUUUUUCUGUCUUUCUUUUCUUUUUUGUCUUUUCGUGUUCUCCAUCACAGACGAAGGAGCGAAACUGAUCUCGAUCGAAACUGAUCUCGAUCAAAACUGAUCUCGCUCGAAACCCACCAUCGCUCCUCCACCACCGAUCCUCCGGCUUCGUUCUCGUCUUGCCAUCUUCUCCGUGACAGAGGAAGGCUCAAAACUGAUCUCGAUCGAAACCCACCACUGCUCAUCCACCACCGAUCCUUCGUCUUCUUUCUCCUCUUGUCGUCUUCUCCGUGACAGAGUUUGGAUCAAAACCCACCACCGCUCCUCCACCACCUAUCCUCCGUCUUCGUUCUCGUCUUCACGUCUUCUCCGUGACAGAGGAAGGAUCGUAACCUUCCACCGAUAGAAACCCACCACCAAGGACGACGACUCUCCCGCUCCUUACGGUGUCUCUCUC